AAAUGGAGUGCUUAAACUGUAAAAAGCCCACACACAAGGACUGGACAUGUUGUCCAUUUUGUAUGGCAAUACUCCCAGUUUUUGCAGACCAGUCCAUUAAAAAGGGUAAAGGAGAUGUAGAAGAAAAAAUGCUUCAGAAAAAUGUGCUGAAGGAAGCGUCAACGAGACUAAUUCAACGGGGACAGUUUCGACUGCUGCAAAACGUAUUUACAAUAACUCAUUCUCUGCGCUUUAUAGCAUAGCCUUUCUCGGGUCAGGUUCGUGGAAAUAUUGACCGUGUGGUCAAAGUCAAUUAAUCCAUGACUAAGAGAAACACAUUUCUAAGAGAAACCUAUGUACCAAUGACUAUAACAUAACGUUUGACAUUCGAGCCUUGUGUUUGUGAGAUUAAUGCCAUCUCAAAGAGGUUGACAUGUUUGCUUUAAAGUGUGUGGCAAGUGAACUUAUGAAUUAGUUAUGAUUCUAAAAACACAAUGAACCUAUUUAUUUGGCCAUGAUUGUAUCUAACGCCAUUGGCGUGUAGAAACACUGUUUUAGAUCUGUUUUCAUGGAAUAAGCAGACCGUGGUGUUUUUUUAAGGAUCCUGGAACACUUAACGACUGGAGAUUGCACCCUAGACCUCUCGGUUGCAUAGCGGACACCAUAUACAUCACGCCGAUAUGACUUUGAACGAAAAUUGACCUAGCAAUUUUAAGUCAUAAACCUUGGUCAUAAACGGUUCUCAACAAAGGAACAUUUUAUGCAAGCACUUGACAAUUUAAAACCGUAAUGUCUAGUUCCAAAGUUCAGCUUUUUUUGGCAAACGUAAAGUUUCAAUUAAAUACAAAAUAUACGUUUAACUACAUAUUAUCUUGCAUACCAACUUACCAAAAGACCCUAAUAAUGUACGUUCUUUUGACAUGAAUUUCAUACGAAUCGACAUUUGUCACUUUUUUGCCUUUAACCAAGACUAAAUAAGGGGUUAGCGGUAAGUUUUUAUAUUACACAGACGUCAGGGCGUAUAAAUAUUUAUCUAUACGGGAUAAACAGGUUUAAAAUGAUUCAAUGACGUACCAUAUAGUGAACAACACCGCUAGACUUUUCAUCACAUUGUUUCAAAAGUAAAAUUAUCUGCAUAGGUAAUUAAUAAUCAAAGCAUUUAUCAGCUUUGGCUGGAAUAUAGUUCAUCAAUUUAGAAAACGAUGAUAAUAUCACAAGAUUGCCGAUAAGAUAAUAGCUAUUAACCAAAUUUAAAUUUCGAUUACAAUUCUUCUGCCACAUUCAAAUUUGGUAUAACUUAUAUAAUUGUGUAUAUAAUCAUGAAAAUGAUACUUUGUUUUCUUAAAAGCCCACAAACCCUCUAAAUCAACGAAUAUUUCGAACAAUAUCUCGAAAAAUAUAGUUAAUACAUUCAAAAUCAAUGUUCCUUAUAGCAAUAGACACAAUUUUAACGUUAGAUGUGGACAGGUAAUAUAGAUUUUUUACAAGAUAAAAGUGCUCUUUUUUGUGGGACAAUAUAUUCAACAUGUUCAUAUAAAAAGUUAGUGGUCGUGUCAAGUAUGAUAGAUAUCGUUGCCGAAAUGACAAUGGAGUAUAUUUUGCCAAAAAAAUAAAAUAAAAACAAGCAUUGUGUAUCUCGUUUAAUCUAUGUUUUAAUAUUUUGUUUGUCAAAUACUUGUCGAAAUGUACUUUUUAAGGCAAGUUAAAACUAGCUUUUAACAGUUUAUACACAAGGCUUUAUCGUUAACUCACAUUUCCCCAGACGCGUCUAUUAAAUAUUAAAUUCAUUAAGAUAGAACGCAGAUUACAAUCAGCCCUAUUCUCCUUUAUCUAACAAAUUUGUUUUGAAACAUGCUUCAUGAUUAUAUCUUGUGAACAAGUAAUUUUAACAUGUAAUUUUGGUUUAGUAACAGUAACCUGAUAUUUUUCAUCUUGAAACACUUAGGAUCGAUAAGUAGCCUGUAAUCACUUUUAUUAUGGGUAAUAAAUUGUUUGAUCAUAA